rnacentral:rRNA from 1 species
GAAUAUGGGGGGACCAUCCUCCAAGGCUAAAUACUCCUGACUGACCGAUAGUGAACCAGUACCGUGAGGGAAAGGCGAAAAGAACCCCGGCGAGGGGAGUGAAAAAGAACCUGAAACCGUGUACGUACAAGCAGUGGGAGCCCCACCACUAAGCCAGUGGUGAACUCCACAUACGCAUCCUUUGCUGAGGAUACGGUUAACGGAGCGAAAGCGAUGUUCAACCGCAAAAGAAGCAGAGGGGGCUUAGUGGUGGGGUGACUGCGUACCUUUUGUAUAAUGGGUCAGCGACUUAUAUUCUGUAGCAAGGUUAACCGAAUAGGGGAGCCGGAGGGAAACCGAGUCUUAAUUGGGCGUUAAGUUGCAGGGUAUAGACCCGAAACCCGGUGAUCUAGCCAUGGGCAGGUUGAAGGUUGGGUAACACUAACUGGAGGACCGAACCGACUAAUGUUGAAAAAUUAGCGGAUGACCUGUGGCUGGGGGUGAAAGGCCAAUCAAACCGGGAGAUAGCUGGUUCUCCCCGAAAGCUAUUUAGGUAGCGCCUCGUGAAUUCAUCUCCGGGGGUAGAGCACUGUUUCGGCUAGG